rnacentral:rRNA from 1 species
UACAGAGGGUGCAAGCGUUGUUCGGAAUUACUGGGCGUAAAGCGCGUGUAGGUGGCGAUGUAAGUCGGGUGUGAAAUCCCUCAGCUUAACUGAGGAAGUGCACUCGAUACUGUGUCGCUUGAGUGUUGGAGGGGAUGGCGGAAUUCCCGGUGUAGAGGUGAAAUUCGUAGAUAUCAGGAAGAACACCCGUGGCGAAGGCGGCUCUCUGGGACGGUACUGACGCUGAGACGCGAAAGCGUGGGGAGCGAACAGG